rnacentral:rRNA from 1 species
UCCAGACUCCUACGGGAGGCAGCAGUGGGGAAUAUUGCACAAUGGGGGAAACCCUGAUGCAGCGACGCCGCGUGAGCGAGGAAGUAUUUCGGUAUGUAAAGCUCUGUCAGCAGGGAAGAAGAAUGACGGUACCUGAAGAAGAAGCACCGGCUAAAUACGUGCCAGCAGCCGCGGUAAUACGUAUGGUGCAAGCGUUAUCCGGAUUUACUGGGUGUAAAGGGAGCGCAGGCGGUUCUGCAAGUCUGAUGUGAAAGCCCGGGGCUCAACCGCGGGACUGCAUUGGAAACUGCGGGACUGGAGUGUCGGAGGGGUAAGCGGAAUUCCUAGUGUAGCGGUGAAAUGCGUAGAUAUUAGGAGGAACACCAGUGGCGAAGGCGGCUUGCUGGACAGAGACUGACGUUGAGGCUCGAAAGCGUGGGGAGCAAACAGGAUUAGAUACCCCAGUAACC